AGCGAACGCUGGCGGCAGGCCUAACACAUGCAAGUCGAACGAACUCUUCGGAGUUAGUGGCGGACGGGUGAGUAACACGUGGGAACGUGCCUUUAGGUUCGGAAUAACUCAGGGAAACUUGUGCUAAUACCGAAUGUGCCCCCCGAUUCAUUUUGGGGUGGGAAAGAUUUAUCGCCUUUAGAGCGGCCCGCGUCUGAUUAGCUAGUUGGUGAGGUAAAGGCUCACCAAGGCGACGAUCAGUAGCUGGUCUGAGAGGAUGAUCAGCCACAUUGGGACUGAGACACGGCCCAAACUCCUACGGGAGGCAGCAGUGGGGAAUCUUGCGCAAUGGGCGAAAGCCUGACGCAGCCAUGCCGCGUGAAUGAUGAAGGUCUUAGGAUUGUAAAAUUCUUUCACCGGGGACGAUAAUGACGGUACCCGGAGAAGAAGCCCCGGCUAACUUCGUGCCAGCAGCCGCGGUAAUACGAAGGGGGCUAGCGUUGCUCGGAAUUACUGGGCGUAAAGGGAGCGUAGGCGGACAUUUAAGUCAGGGGUGAAAUCCCGGGGCUCAACCUCGGCAUUGCCUUUGAUACUGGGUGUCUUGAGUAUGAGAGAGGUGUGUGGAACUCCGAGUGUAGAGGUGAAAUUCGUAGAUAUUCGGAAGAACACCAGUGGCGAAGGCGACACACUGGCUCAUUACUGACGCUGAGGCUCGAAAGCGUGGGGAGCAAACAGG
rnacentral:rRNA from 1 species